AUACGGAGGAUGCGAGCGUUAUCCGGAUUUAUUGGGUUUAAAGGGAGCGUAGGCGGGAGCUUAAGUCAGCGGUUAAAUGGUGCGGCUCGACCGUGCCCUGCCGUUGAAACUGGGUUUCUUGAGAGUGCAAGAGGCGGAUGGAAUUCAUGGUGUAGCGGUGAAAUGCUUAGAUAUCAUGAAGAACUCCGAUUGCGAAGGCAGUCCGCUGGGGCACGUCUGACGCUGAUGCUCGAAGGUGCGGGAAUCAAACAGGAUUAGAUACCCUGGUAGUCCGCACGGUAAACGAUGAUUACCCGCUGUCGGCGGCAGACAGUCGGCGGCCAAGCGAAAGCGAUAAGUAAUCCACCUGGGGAGUACGCCGGCAACGGUGAAACUCAAAGGAAUUGACGGGG
rnacentral:rRNA from 1 species